CCUCCGGGGGGCAGCAGUGCGGAAUAUUGGUCCAUGGACGAGAGUCUGACCCCGCCCCUUCUCUUUCCUUCUUCCUUCCCUCUUUUUUAUCACCUUCUUUUAUAUGGUCCUCCCACAGGGUAUGCAUACCCUCUUGUAUGUACCAUAUGAAUACGGAUCGGCUCACUCCGUGCCAGCAGCCGCGGUCCUACGGCGGAUCCGAGCUUUCUCCUGAUUUCUUUGUGUUCCAGUUCUCGUAGUAGGAUUUUUAAGUCAGUUGUGAAAUGUUGCGGCUCAACCGUAAAAUUGCAGUUGAAACUGGCAGU
rnacentral:rRNA from 1 species